ensembl:misc_RNA
UGUCCACAUCCGGAUUUACCUAAACCCCACCCAGGUUGCAUUUGCAUAGUAAUGAAAAACCGGUAUUUUCUAGCUGUGAAUCACACUU